GACGAACGCUGGCGGCGUGCCUAAUACAUGCAAGUUGAGCGAUGAAGCUUGGUGCUUGCACCCAUUUGAAGAGCAGCGAACGGGUGAGUAACGCGUGGGGAAUCUGCCUUUGAGCGGGGGACAACAUUUGGAAACGAAUGCUAAUACCGCAUAACAACUUUAAACAUAAGUUUUAAGUUUGAAAGAUGCAAUUGCAUCACUCAAAGAUGAUCCCGCGUUGUAUUAGCUAGUUGGUGAGGUAAAGGCUCACCAAGGCGAUGAUACAUAGCCGACCUGAGAGGGUGAACGGCCACAUUGGGACGGGGAAACGGCCCAAACUCCUAAGGGAGGGAGCAGUAGGGAAUCUUCGGAAAUGGACGAAAGUCUGAACGAGCAACGCCGCGGGAGUGAAGAAGGGUGUCGGAUCGGAAAACUCUGUUGGUAGAGAAGAACGUUGGUGAGAGUGGAAAGCUCAUGAAGUGACGGUAACUACCCAGAAAGGGACGGCUAACUACGUG
rnacentral:rRNA from 1 species